rnacentral:lncRNA from 1 species
CUGGAAUAAGAAUGCGACCGCCAAAGGGUUCAGCCUUGGGCAUUUCCAGGCCUCUCUUCUUCCUGUGUCUUCGGUCAGGACACCCCAAUCAGGGCACUUCCUCCACUUGUGUCUCUCGGGUAGACUGUCCUCCCGAACCUUCUGUAUCUCUCUAAAUCUCACACACCCUCCAGGCUCAGCUCAAGAUCCCUGCCUGAAGCUUUCUCCCAGUCUUCUAACUCAUUGACCCUCCCACUGGAACAACACUGAGACUUUCCAAGAGGGUGAGAAUGGUUUUCUAAAGCCAUCAAUCUUCACGUGUGUACUUUCUUCAAGAUGAUGUGCCUGUGAACGUGUCCCUGUCACGCUGCUUCUCAGAACUACUGCCCCCUUCAUACCCACCUUUAUAAGAGAAAGGCCAGCCUUCACCCUUCUAGAAUUCUAACCAUGUUGCCUGGAUUCAGGAUGAAAAAGGUGCUCUGGGGCAUCGAGCAAGGAUCCAUCCUCGAGAGAAGGACGCAUUGAUGCUGCAGGAGUAAUAUCUUAGACCACGCACACAUUGAACCAACCAGCGGGGAUCAUAUUUAUUAAGAAAGAGGAGAUGAGGAAAGUGAGGCACAGUUGUGCCCUGCCCAAGGACACAUGAAAGGACCAGGAGGCAUCUGAAAGCAUCACUCAGACUCUCGAGUCCCACUCUGCCACCAAGCUUACUGGCCUCCCUAGGAUCAGUGGUGUAAUCCCCAGGACUGCACUCCUCGCCACGGUGCUCAUUGGCUUGCAUAAUCAAGGCUUCCUGGUCUUUUGUUGAAGGUUUCACAUGCAGAAGAAGCUUCAUGGACCCAUCCCACAGGAAGGAUUUCCAGUAGGAAGGCCGAGGUGUUACCUGGCAGCUGACUCUCAGUUAUACAUAACCCCCACCUCCGGGACCUGGUGAUCUGACAAAGGAGAAGAUAAAUUCGUGGCAUCUAUGGCUUUCAGUUUACUCAUUUAAUAUUUCCCUGGUGCCUCUAUUAGUCUUGUACCAUCUGUGGGAAGACAGGUAAGAAGCUGGUGGAAAAUGGCUUCUUUUCUAGCAAAUUCCUGUGGAAGUGGGAAGCCAUUGUGUUUCUAUCCUUUAUAACAGAACUUACAUUCUUACUGGAAUAAAAUAGAGCUGGGUCUGAAGGUAAAGAGUGUAGAUGAAAGGGCAAGAGAUGAGGUGUCUGUGCAUGCAUGUGUUCAUGCAUGUGUAUGCAUGUGUGCAGGCAUGUGUGUACAUGUGUGUGUGGAUAAACAUGUAUGCAUGUACGUAUGGGAGAUUAUUUGCAAGUAUGAGGGAAGCACUUACAUUUUUCCUUGCUUUCCCUAGGAGAUGCUGCCUAAAG